rnacentral:rRNA from 1 species
GACGAACGCUGGCGGCGUGCCUAAUACAUGCAAGUCGAGCGAAUCUUGAGGUGCUUGCACCUCUUGGUUAGCGGCGGACGGGUGAGUAACACGUGGGCAACCUGCCUGUAAGACUGGGAUAACACCGGGAAACCGGUGCUAAUACCGGAUAAUCCUUUUCCUCUCAUGAGGAAAAGCUGAAAGUCGGUUUCGGCUGACACUUACAGAUGGGCCCGCGGCGCAUUAGCAGUUGGUGAGGUAACGGCUCACCAAGGCGACGAUGCGUAGCCGACCUGAGAGGGUGAUCGGCCACACUGGGGACUGAGACACGGGCCCAGACUCCUACGGGAGGCAGCAGUAGGGAAUCUUCCGCAAUGGACGAAAGUCUGACGGAGCAACGCCGCGUGAGUGA